GAGUGUAUGGCUCAAGUGGUAGAGCACAUGCUUAGCAUGCACGAGGUCCUGGGUUCAAUCCCCGGUACCUCCU
rnacentral:tRNA from 1 species